rnacentral:miRNA from 1 species
CAAAGACUGCAAUUACUUUUGCG